AGUGAACGCUGGCGGUAGGCCUAACACAUGCAAGUCGAACGGCAGCACAGUAAGAGCUUGCUCUUACGGGUGGCGAGUGGCGGACGGGUGAGGAAUACAUCGGACUCUACUUUUUCGUGGGGGAUAACGUAGGGAAACUUACGCUAAUACCGCAUACGACCUACGGGUGAAAGCAGGGGAUCUUCGGACCUUGCGCGAUUGAAUGAGCCGAUGUCGGAUUAGCUAGUUGGCGGGGUAAAGGCCCACCAAGGCGACGAUCCGUAGCUGGUCUGAGAGGAUGAUCAGCCACACUGGAACUGAGACACGGUCCAGACUCCUACGGGAGGAAGCAGUGGGGAAUAUUGGACAAUGGGCGCAAGCCUGAUCCAGCCAGACCGCGUGGGUGAAGAAGGCCUUCGGGUUGUAAAGCCCUUUUGUUGGGAAAGAAAAGCAGCAGGUUAAUACCCCGCUGUUCUGACGGUACCCAAAGAAUAAGCACCGGCUAACUUCGUG
rnacentral:rRNA from 1 species